rnacentral:rRNA from 1 species
AUACGGGGGGUGCAAGCGUUAUUCGGAUUUAUUGGGCGUAAAGGGCGCGUAGGCGGCUUGGUAAGUCAGAUGUGAAAGCCCGUGGCUCAACCCCGGAAGUGCAUUUGAAGCUAUCAGGCUUGAGUAUGGGAGAGGGAAGUGGAAUUCCUGGUGUAGAGGUGAAAUUCGUAGAUAUCAGGAGGAACACCGGUGGCGAGGGCGACUUCCUGGACCAAUACUGACGCUGAGGCGCGAAGGCGUGGGGAGCAAACAGGAUUAGAAACCCCGGUAGUCC